rnacentral:lncRNA from 1 species
GGAAAACACUGGGUAGGAAAAAAAGAAAACCUUGAAAUAUUAGCUUCAAUGAAGGAAAAUCUGGAUAACUUAUUCUUAUGAAUCUGAAACAAUUUAAGAAAACAAAUGACUGCUUGAUUUUUGUGCCAAUUGAAUAGAAUGGGAUUCAAUUUUUAAUAGCAAGGUGGCAUGGCUAAGUAAGGUCCCUGGGAUUCUCUUGCAAUGCCGUGAAAGCAAAAGGACAGCUCUCCUAACAAGAAGCCAAAGAUUGCUACAGGAGACUGAGGAGAGGAAAAAGCCCUUUUCUCAUCACCAUUGAUUCCUUCAGUCUCCAUGAUUUCCUCUCAAGAACUGCCAUUUGUUGC